CACCUGUUGGGGAAGAUAGAGUGAGUCCUUUCACGGGUCUCCAGGCUCGGAGGGGAUGGAAGGCUGGGCGGUCCAGGGGCCGAGAGGGACCCAGUCCAGGUCUCAGUCCCAGCCAGCCCCAGCUCAGCCCAGAAUCUAACCCAUCAUGGCCCAGGUGCCCUUGGAUCCAGACAACUCAAAACCUUUUACAGUCCAGGGUCCCAGGCCUUCAGCCAAAGGACAUGUUGCCAGGGUUUGGAGAGGUCAAGGGACGGUUCUGAUCCUGGAUUUUGGGGCUGGGGAAGUGCGGCAGCAGCGAGAGGCCAAUCAAUCCCCACUUUACAGCUGACAGAAUGGUGCUAAUAACUUAUCGAUCUCGGCCACCUCGGCAGCCCAAGCCCAGGCCUUGCCCCGAGAGGGACGAGGACCUUACUGCUUGGCGGAAGGGCUCCUACCUCAGUGACCUGGCAGGACAGGGAGCCACGCACCCAGCAGAAGGGCCCCUUGAGGAAGCCACAGCUGGCCCCCAACAGCUUGGGGGCAUCGGGGCCCAGCUGGAAAGGGGUGGCAGUGGCCUUGACCCCUUCAAGCCCACCCCAGAAGUAGCCACGGUGGGACCACUGCCUUGGCCUCCUGUCUGCCUGGCUGGCCUGGAUUAGCACAAUUACCAUCCCAUGGAGCCCCAGGGGACAGCCGGCCUCCCUGGCUGCUGGCCAAGGCUGCUGGGGG